rnacentral:rRNA from 1 species
CCUACGGGAGGCAGCAGUGGGGAAUAUUGGGCAAUGGGCGCAACCCUGACCCAGCAACGCCGCGUGAAUGAAGAAGGCUUUCGGGUUGUAAACUUCUUUUGUCAGGGACGAAGCAAGUGACGGUACCUGACGAAUAGACCACGGCUAACUACGUGCCAGCAGCCGCGGUACUACGUAGGUGGCAAGCGUUAUACGGAUUUACUGGGUGUAAAGGUCGUGUAGGCGGGACGGCAAGUCAGAUGUGAAAACCACGGGCUUAACCUGUGGACUGCAUUUGAUACUGUAGUUCUUGAGUACUGGAGGGGAAGACGGAAUUCCGAGUGUAGCGGUGAAAUGCGGAGAUAGUAGGAGGAACACCAGUGGCGAAGGCGGUCUGCUGGACAGCAACUGACGCUGAGGCGCGAAAGCGUGGGGAGCAAACAGGAUUAGAUACCCUAGUAGUC